rnacentral:rRNA from 1 species
UGAGGAAUAUUGGUCAAUGGGCGCAAGCCUGAACCAGCCAUCCCGCGUGCAGGAAGACGGCCCUAUGGGUUGUAAACUGUUUUUCCAGGGAGAGAAACUUACGCACGUGUUGCGUGACUGACGGUACCCUGGGAAUAAGCAUCGGCUAACUCCGUG